rnacentral:rRNA from 1 species
CCACGCCCGCUACGAACUACAAAGGAAUUGACGGGGGCCCGCACAAGCGGUGGAGCAUGUGGUUUAAUUCGACGCAACGCGAAGAACCUUACCUGGGCUUGACAUCCCGAUCGCACCUUAUGGAUACAUAGGGGUCAGUUCGGCUGGAUCGGUGACAGGUGCUGCAUGGCUGUCGUCAGCUCGUGUCGUGAGAUGUUGGGUUAAGUCCCGCAACGAGCGCAACCCUUGUCCCUAGUUGCCAGCAUUCAGUUGGGCACUCUAAGGAGACUGCCGGUGUCAAACCGGAGGAAGGUGGGGAUGACGUCAAGUCCUCAUGGCCCUUAUGUCCAGGGCUACACACGUGCUACAAUGGCCGGUACAAAGGGGCGCAAGACCGCGAGGUGGAGCAAAUCCCAAAAAACCGGUCUCAGUUCGGAUUGGAGUCUGCAACUCGACUCCAUGAAGUUGGAAUCGCUAGUAAUCGCGUAUCAGCAUGACGCGGUGAAUACGUUCCCGGGCCUU